GACGAACGCUGGCGGCGUGCUUAACACAUGCAAGUCGAACGGAAAGGCCCUGCUUGCAGGGUCCUCGAGUGGCGAACGGGGGAGUAACACGAGGGUGAUCUGCCCUGCACUUUGGGAGAAGCCUGGGAAAGUGGGUGUAAUACAGGACAGGAGCCAUUCUCAGUGUGAAGGUUGGAGAGUUUUUUCGGUGUAGGAUGAGCUCGCGGCCUAUCAGCUUGUGGGUGGGGUAAUGGCCUACCAAGGCGGCGGCGGGUAGCCGGCCUGUGGGGGUGGACGGCCACAUUGGGACUGAGAUACGGCCCAGACUCCGACGAGUGGCAGCAGUGGGGAAUAUUGCACAAUGGGCGCAAGCCUGAUGCAGCGACGCCGCGUGUGGGAUGACGGCCUUCGGGUUGUAAACUCCUUUCGCGAGGAACGAAGCUUUUUGUGACGGUACCUAGAUAAGAAGCACCGGCUAACUACGUG
rnacentral:rRNA from 1 species